rnacentral:rRNA from 1 species
GACGAACGCUGGCGGCGUGCCUAAUACAUGCAAGUCGAGCGAAUGAAUGGGAGCUUGCUCCUGUUCGUUAGCGGCGGACGGGUGAGUAACACGCGGGCAACCUGCCUGUAAGACUGGGAUAACUUCGGGAAACCGGAGCUAAUCCCGGAUAGUUUCUUUCUUCACAUGAAGAAGGAUGGAAAGACGGUUUCGGCUGUCGCUUACAGAUGGGCCCGCGGCGCAUUAGCUAGUUGGUGAGGUAACGGCUCACCAAGGCGACGAUGCGUAGCCGACCUGAGAGGGUGAUCGGCCACACUGGGACUGAGACACGGCCCAGACUCCUACGGGAGGCAGCAGUAGGGAAUCUUCCGCAAUGGACGAAAGUCUGACGGAGCAACGCCGCGUGAGUGAAGAAGGUUUUCGGAUCGUAAAACUCUGUUGUCAGGGAAGAACAAGUACCAGAGUAACUGCUGGUACCUUGACGGUACCUGACCAGAAAGCCACGGCUAACUACGUGCCAGCAGCCGCCGUAAAAC